GUAAGGCUAGUGAAAGCCCCUAGGGUUCUUCAGCCUCAGCAGGACCAUGCUAAAGCAUUCCUGUCCCCAUCUGACAUACCAGCUCUAUGAUGGGUCUAGUAUAGAAUUGAGUUUAUUUGGGGCAUGGGAAAGAGUUGAGAAGAGAGUAGAUGCAGAGAGAGGGGACAAAAAAAAGAAAGAAAGAAAGAAAAAAGAGGAGACAUAGGGGGAGGGAGGGGGAGGGAGAGAAAGGAGAGGGAGAAAAAGAAAACAAAGAAGCCAGCCAGGAACCCAUGGAGAAGGGGAGGGGUAGAGGAAAGGAGAGAGAGGGAGAAAGGAGUCAGAAUGAGAGGAAAGGACCAGAGAGCAGAAAGGGUCAGAGAGUGGAGGGGCACCAAACAGUUCCUUCUAUAGCAAGCCAAGUCUACCUGACUGUUGUUGCUAGGUAACUGUUGGGCGGAGCCUAAAAGGAAUGCUAACAUGCUAAUACUUAAUGAUUUAACAAUGGCCUGUGCCUUACCUUCAGAAUUCCGAAAGGGCUCUCUCUGGUUAUAGACUGGGACUUUGCUUUCAGAUUCUAAAAGCUAAAGGAUGAGAAAAGCCUUGUAACCAGAGGGGACAAUAGUGAAAUCCCUGAGGCAAGCUGUUGAGGCUCUGGAGGCAAGAGGAUCAAUGGUAGAAAAUGUACACCAUUCUGACUGCUAUCCACAUGCUAAGCAACAGCUGGCUUAGCUGUACAGUAGAAAGCCAUGUACAAUAAGAAGCCACUAAGAGUUUUAAUAAGACUGCUGGAGUCUGAGAAAAUGAUCUGCAUUUCUAAAGAUCACUUUGUAAAGUAGAAGAUGGCUCUUGGGGAAAAUUGAAUUUGUAGAAGGUUGUAGUUGCCCAGUUUAUCUCUCAAGAGUACUUCUCAACAAACCUCCAGAGUCUAGCAUUCCAUCCAGAAGCAUAUGUCUGAGAAACUCAGCCAAAGACACCGGGUUACCAAAAGAGUAUCUAAAGAGACUCUUGAAGGUCCUGGUCAUGAAGGAGAAGAACACAGUAGAGACCAAAAAGUCUGUAAAGAACAUCCUCCAGGAGCCUUCCACAAUGAAUCUGCUGCUGAUACAUCCUCCACCCCUUUACCCCCUACCAUAGCCCUGUUCCCCUAGCCCCUCCACAGAGAUCUCCCUUGAACCUUUGCCCAACAUCCCUUUACCCCUUCUUCCUCCAGCCCCAGCAAGGGGAGAGCAUGAGGGGGGAACCUCAAAACUGGGACUGGCCACGGGGACCAAAAGCAAGAGAGCCACUUCACCUAAUACAAAAGUGACCCUCCCCCUCUGAGUCUACAGCCCAUAGAUGACAAUGGCAAUCAGGCCAUAUAAUAUUGGCCCUUCUCUUCUGCCAACUUGUACAAUUGGAAGGCACAACACCCCCUUCAGAUAAUCCCAAGGGGUUGAUUUUAUUUACUCAUCAUCCCACCUGGGAUGAUAUUCAACAACUCACGAGAGUGCUUUUCAUGACUGAAGAGUGAGAGAGGAUAAUGCAGGAAGCCAGAAAGAAUGUCCCCUUUGAGCAGGUUGUCAUCGACAGCAGAUUUCUCCUGACUAGACCUGGCUGGGACUUUAAUACAGCAGAAGGAUCACCUCUAUUCCUGAGAGGAAUAUGCUACUUUCUAUGUUGUUUAUCCCAAUGACUGUGCUUAGAUGACAUCAUCCAGAGAUGGUGGGAACCCUGGACAUAAUGCCAGAGUGUUUGCAAGGGGGCCCAGUGAAGAAACUGCCAAUAUGACCAUUCCAUGAUAUGGGUAAGUUUUUUCUUGUUAACAUGAGAGGAAAAACAACUGGAGGCAUCUGGAAGAGUGCAGAGCAGAGAGAGAAAGUAGACUGGAUGAAGCCGGAGAUAGAGAAGUAAGAAAGCAAAAGAGAACCGUGGAGAUAGCAAGAUAGCAAGAGAUAAAGAAUAGAGCAUGGCGAGUGAAAUAGAAUAAGAAAGAUUAAGUAGAAAGAAAGAUGAUAGAUGGAUGAUAGAUAAAUAAAUUGAUAGAUAGAUGAUUGUUAAUAGGGAGGGUGAGUAUCCGAAGCAGGAAAGGACCAGGAGACUGGUUUGGGGAUUUUGAAAUAUAUAGCAAGUGUUUAUGGAUAGGGACAGAGGGAGCCUGAAGCCUGGCAUGGGCUUUGACAUACAGUCACAGAUAUAGUCAGUGGAGAACCACAAUGUGCCUUCUGCUAGAGGUAAGGAAUGUGACUUCAUUUGUCAGGUGGGAACAGAUUCCACAGGUUCCUGUGGAAUGCUGGCUUUUAGCUGGUCUCCAGAAAUCCUGUAGUCCAGAUUGAGCUCAUUUCUGGAUAUAUGGACUACGUUUUGGAGUGUGGGGAGUUGGGGAAUUUUUCUUUUUACCUGCAUAAUAUAAGGUGCUGUGGAGUGGAGCUGAGAGACCAAACCUAUUCCAUCUUGAGGCAGGCCUCCAUUUUAAAAGAAAAAAUAAAUGCCUGAGAAUUUGACUUGCAGCUGAUCUCAAGCUGCACUCAAGUACCAGGAAGGACCCCAAGGCUUGUCCUUGGCCCAUACCCCAGAGUAACUACCAAGCUACUUCCUAGUAACAGUCAAUCAAAGAUUAGUCUGAUUGUUUCAGGUGUACUUUCAGACCAUUUGUAAUGUUCACAGUCUUGCUGCAGAACACCCAGCUGUUGGCUUACAAUAGCCAUCCUAUUAGAUACUUGCCAGACUGGACACCUCCUCACUCACUUCCAUUCCCUAUAGAACCUUGUCCUGUUGAAGGUUGAAUGACGCUCUGCCUUCCUUUCCUGCUGUGUCAGGGUUGGGUUGGAGGACAGCCUAAACUGUAGCUUGUAAUAAAGAAACUCUAAUGAGAUUACAUCAGAAAUGGCUGGCCUUCGGGGGUUUGUAAAUGCUUCUUGGCACAAGAGAGCAGGAGGGGAUGUCAGUUGGUACCUAAGAUUGGGCCCUGUGCUUCAGAGAGCUUCAAGGCCAUCUGGAUUUCUUGCUGAAGUUCUGACUUUAGCAAAAAUGUUUGGAAAGUACUGUUCCCUUUACCCCUGUGAUAUUUUUCUGCUCACUCUCCUUGACAAUUUACUUGUGAUUCGUUUUUCCAUCUUUAUGAUGCAUGGUCUAGCAAAUAGACACUGGGGUUGGGUAAAGGAGAUAAACCUUGAGUACUAGGUGUAACCUAGUGCUGACCCAUUGCCCACUCCUGUGUACAAUCAUUGAGCCUUGUUUGCAGUGAGAAGCCAAUAUCCUUGUCACUGUCAAUGUUUGCCUACAUGUAGUUCAAGGCAUUUCUGCAUAAUGAGUCCUCUUCCUCUCUGUCCUCCUCCCCUCUCAAUUAUCCGAGUUUAAUUUACAGUUCGGCUUACCUUUGUUAGUCUGUUUACACUCCCUAACAGCUUCCCAUUCAUCCAGUUCUUUCUCCAGGGGGUGUAAGCAGAUUGGCCAAUUAGCACUUCCUUUUUAACAAACAGAUAAAUAUAUCACUCUACUCAAGUAUGGAGGACACCUUGCCGUGAUGAGAUAAAUCAGAACUUCCCUAUAGAUUUUCCUUACCUGCAGUGAAUACAUCACUUGAAGCAAUUACAUCAAUAAUAAUAAUGUGCACACAGGCUCAUAUUUCAUGGUGGUGUCUCCUCUGGGAGGUUUGAUUUCUCCUUGGAGUCAAGGACUGUGGUACCUUGUGGGCUUUCUCAGUUUUUCUGGAGGUUGGAUGAGCUAUUUUGUUUAGUAAUUAUGAUGCAUGAAGAAUGUUGGUGAAAAGUGGGUAGAGAUAAAAAUGCCUGCUCUUUCAUAACUGUUUUCUCACCCCUCACACAUUUCCCAGAACUAUAUACAAACACAAAUUCUAAAAUACAAAAUUUUAUUUACUGUCUUUCUACAUCCCAAAUGAUUCUGACCCCUCCACUAAUUAGCUACUCAAGUAAAUUGGGUGAUAACUCUAAGAAUGCACAGUUAAUAUAUUAAGUUCUUAGUUUAUUCUAAAUAAUAAGUACCAUAUUUUACUCUGUAGUGCUCUUAUUUACAGUGUUACUUGCUAUAUAUUUUCAUGAAUUAGCAGUUUUCUGAGAUACUAAAUAGUCUUUGUUUAGCUGAGGAAUAAUAAUCAAGUUGACUUUUGAUGCUCUAGUAAUUCAUAGCUGUGUUGGUGAGGAUCCCAGCAUCAAACUGUGAUAUUUUCUUUCUCAAGACUAAUUUCAAAGUAGUAUUUCAAUUUAACUCUCACUAAGGCAUCCAAUUUGUACUUAAAAGGCAGUCAAUAUAGGUUAAUGAAAUAGUUUUAACCUAUCACUGGUGAGCUUUAUUGUAAUAAAACACUUCUCUUCUUACAAUGAAGCAUCAUGGAGCUAUAGGCACAGGGGUGUUAAAUGUGGUUGAAUUACAUGCCAAUCUAUGCCACUCUAACUCAAUGUAGAUGGGCCACAAAACUAAAUUAAGGGAUAAAUAACCUAAGAUACUUAUGAACAUAAGUAAGAGUACAAAUCAGAGAAAUAGGAAAGCCCAGAGAGGAAGUGGCAGGAACCUAGAAACCACUUCAUCUCAAAGUUUAUAAUGUAAAUUAGAAGGCAUGACAAAAGAGGGUGGCUGAGAAAGACUAAAGAUAGUUUGGGUUACAUUUUUGUAUUGUCUACUAUGGUAAGCUACUAAACUUUAGUUCCACCAUCUUAUCAAAGCAUUCUGAGAAAUGCUUUGAUUGAUAAACCUAUAUUGGAUAAAAACUGGUUUUCUCACAAAAGUCAUAAAUUCUUAUUGUAAACUGGUCUCUAUACAAGCCAUGAAUUCCUACGCAAUGUGACCAUGGACUGAAGGUUAACUUUCUGACUAUCUAACUGCUAUUGCUCUACUUCUGUGAACAACACUUGCUUGCAGCAGACAUCCAGAGCUGCCUUUCUAUGUCUGUCAGAAUUAUGAGUUUUGCCCUUAAUAAAUCUCAAACCAACUGGAGGUUGAGGCUGCUUCCUUCUAAUCUUCUUGGAGAAGUCCUGCCUGCAGCUAAGAGAGACCCGGUUUGACUUAUUCAGGCUUCUCUAGAAUUAUCUCUUCUGAUACUCCAUUAAUACCACCACUGUCAAUAGCACCAACAUGGCUCAGAAGUGUGGGAACUGCACAAAGCUCAAUUGGUUUAUUUCUUUAGUUUUACCAAAAAACAAAUGUAGAAUAAGAUAUGGGAAACACCCCUCUUUGUUGAUACCUAGGGACUCUACUUUUGGAAGACCUUUUGAAUCUCAGUAUCUAAUGACAGUAGGGCUGAUGUCCCAGUUUCUUUCUGGGCUCCACUUAACUAUUUAAAAACAUUUCUACCUCUCACUAAGUGUCCCUUUGUCUCAUAUGUCUUCUAUAGGUUCUCUCUGGCUCCAGGCAAAGAAAAGUCUAUACUUUAAAAGGCUUAUGUGAUUAGUAGAUAACUCAGGAUUUCUAUCUUAACCUCCCCAGUGAAAUUGAUAUUUGUAGACUCUUUUGCCCUGUAAUGAGACCAUUAACAGUUCCCAGGGGAUUAGAAAAUGGACCUACUUGAAGACCACUAAGCCUACCAUAUAGUAAUAGUAUAAUACUACCUUACACAUUCUACAGUACUGUUUACUGUAUACUGUCUACUGGGUAGUACAAACAGGGGGAAUCUUCCAUGAAGCAGGCAAAUGUGGGUAUACAUAGAGGGGUGAAGUGGGGACUGGUACAAGAAAAGCAAAGUGAUUCCCUGUCAAUAUAUGCCCACAACACCUUCAUAGACCCUCGAAGGAUAAACUCACGUCUCUUGUGUUUUCUCGUUUGCUCCUUGAAACUAGAGACCUGUCCUUUUGCUAAUUUAACUUUAACAUAGAUUUCUUCUUACUCUUCAUAUUAGGUGACUAGGUCCACCUCUAUUUGAAGUGUGAUUUAAGGAACGUGAUGAGGGCCAAUGGUAGCAAAUAACUCUGUAAGCACAGAUUGGGAAGAACAUUUUAACAUAACUCUUGUUAAGACUGGAAUUCCACCACAGAGACUAUUUCCUUUCCCUCCAUGUUUGCUGCUUCUCCCUUUGAGAACUCACACCACCUCAAAGCCCUCAGUAUCUGGAGUGGCUAUUUUUGGCAACGUUGAGAACUUCUAGGCUGAUAUAUAGUUGUCCAGCUUUCCCAGUCACCCCUGGUGCCUCUACAAUGUACAGAACUCACACACUGACUAAAGUUUUGGCCUCAGCUCACCAUGUAAGAGCUGUUUGCUUAAUGUAAGAGUGUUUAUUUAAUAUGACUAAGGUCUGAGUGCAUUAGUAUUAGUUUUAAAGAAGAUACUUGUUCUGAAAGUCACUUCCUCUAAACUGGAUCAUUUUAAUACAACUUCUUUGUAGCUCAAUAUCUUCUUCCACCAAAUAGAGAGACAAUCAUUCAUAGUUCUCUGCCUUCUGGAUUCCUGCUACAUCUUGCCUAGACUUUCAUGAGCAUAUGUAUCUCCCCCCACUCACUUAUAUAAUUAUUAUCUAUUUUCAUGAUAAUUUCAUUAGGUGAUAAACUAUGUCUUUUCAGUUUUGUGUCAUACACUGAGUUAUCUUGACAUGAACAAUCAAUAGACAAAAUAUGAUUGUGUAGGUAAGUGUUUGGAAGUUAAUUACUUAAUAAUAAUAAAUGACUAUGAAUACAUAAUUUUUCUUCUCAAAAUUAUUGCAGUGCAUAGUAGCUUAUUAAAUUAAAUCAACUUGAUCAAUUUCAAAACCCUGAUGUAAUUUUAUGUAUGCAUUUGCCAUGGUAGUGUGUUUGUUUGUGUGUGUGUGUGUGUGUGUGUGUGUGUGUGUGUGUGUGUGUGUAAAUCAGAGAACAACCUUGGAGCAUUGGUUCUUUUCUUCAACUACAUGGAAUAGAGCUCAGGCUUGAGAGUAAGUCCCUUUACCUACUAAACCAUUUCACUUUCCUUUUUUAAUUUUUUUAUUUUGCAUUUGUAUUUCAAACAGAUAUAUAUUUUUUACAUGUGCAUGUAAAAUUAGAAGACAUUGGCAAUUGGGAUCCCUUCCAUUGAUCUUUCAUGUAUUCUACUCUUCCCCUUUCAUUGAGUAGCAGCUUCUGUAUCUAUCUUGUGGCUCAGUGUCAGGGUUCCUUCUAUGACCGCAGGGAUCCAGGUUCUAACUUGAAGUCAUUGCUUCUCUUCGUACUUUCAUUAGUUAUUCAUCAUACAAUGUCUUCCAAGACCUCUUCUCUUGAUAUUUAACAUCUGAAAUGUUUUAUGUCUUAUCAAUUAUUCAAAUACAUUUUGAACAACUUCUAAAGUUCUGGGAAGGUCAGAACCAUCACAGCCUUAGUAUAGGAGCUCACUGUUUGAAGGGGAAGGCCUAUGGUUUAACUAAUACUGUACUAUCUACAUGGCUAGUUAUUGCAAGGGACAGAGAGAGGAUUGUAGGAGCUCAAAGCAAAGGGAUUUUUAUUCAUUGAACACCUUGCAUUUAGUAGGUGCUCAUUAUACACGAAUUGAAAGUGUCCACAAUUUCCCCUUGAGUCUAACAAAUCCAUGUAAUUGAAAAUGAACACUAUGGUGGGGUUACUUCUUCUUGAGUUUAGACCAAGCACCACUGAAAAUUCUUAAGACAUCAUGCAGACUGAUGGGCUUUCUCUUUCCUUAGUUGACACCUCUAGCACUGCCCUUGCCAGCUAUAUCUUCUCCCCAACGUCUUCAACAUCUUGUUACAGAAUUAGGACUAUUGUUCUGAUAAUAGCUAAAACUCCCUACUGAAGCAACCGUAGGUACACAGGGCUCUGUCGCUACUGAGGGGUACUCUUUGUCUUUGUUGCAGCAUUCUCCUAUGUAGAUAUUUUUUGCCUUAUUGGCUAAUGUAGAAUUAGACAAAAAUCUAAAACAGAACCAGACCUGAUUUUUCUAACAGAGAAGAAUUUUAGGAGUGAGUGAAACAAACCAAACUAUUUUCCUUUUCAUUCUCAGUUGCCCUGAAAUUCUGAUUAUGUUAUGAAGGAUUAAAGGAGAUGUUAUAGGCAUUUCUAAAAGUUCCACAGAUGUGUAAGAGAUCAGUUCUGGGGUCCACGAUUGAAGUCUCAGGUGCCAGAUGGUCAUCUUUGGUGGAUGAAGCUUUUAAACUUCUCUCUCUUCUUCAACUCUCCCUGUUCUCCUUAAAGCCCCAAGUACAUUCAUAUAGGGCCAAGGACAGUGUGCCUUCUAGCUCAGUGUCAGUCGCUGCACCUUCCAGAAAUAGCAGAGGAGGGGAAGAAUUAGAUGGCUCUGAUCUUUUGCUCUUGACAAGCUUCCUUGUGCAUGAUGAAAUAUAAAUAGAAUAAACCACGAUUCACUAUUAAACCUGGAAGAGAAAUGACACCGAGAUUCAUAAAUUACUGUUAAAUGUAUUUUCUGCAGUGAUUGCAAGAUCAGGGGAUGGGGUGAGGUGGAGGGGUGCUCACUCCCCUGGAGUUAACAGUGACAAAUAGUCUCAGAAGAAUCAUGUCAUCCAGUGUUCUAUGACAACACUAAGAAAAACAUUAAAAUAUUUUGUAUAAUCAUGAACGUAGUGUUUGGUGAAGGGGCUUUCUUCCCUUGUGCCCCUAAAAAAAAAAAUCACAUGUUCUCAUAAUUGCCUGAACUUCUUGACAUACUAAUUAACUCUGAUUUAAAAUAGCCAUUAUUUUCAGUUAAGCUUAGUGAACAUUGUCUAAUAUUAUGUGACCAUUAAUAUGACUAGAGAAAAAUGAGAUAAGAAAAAGAAGAAGGGAGUAAUUAAGAUGAGUAAUUUGGUAACAAAGUUGAACUAGAACAGGUUGGUGACUCUGCAGCAUGUGAUAAUGUACAUUAUCAGCAUAAUUUAUGUUUCAAACUGAAAGACUUUACUUGUCCCCAGGCCCUUUUAUGUGAGAGUUUUGUCAUUUUAGUUAUUGGUAAAUGGAGUGAGAGAUUUCAGAAUGAGGCUCGAGAAUGUUGAAUGUUUUAUAAAGAUUCAGGGUGCACUUAGCAGAGUAUGGUAGGGUAGGGUAGGGUAGGAGAUGGAUUUGGUAAAAUACAAUACAUCCACUCAAGGUACAAUGUGUUUUCUAUUCUAUCCCACCCUUCUUCCCUCUUUUCCUCCCUCCCCUUCCUUCCACCUUUCUUGCUUUAGCUUUUUUGAGAUAUCUUGUUAUUAUAUAGGUCAGACUGACCCCAAACUUUUGAUUUUCUUACCUCAGUCUUCCAACUAGGUAUGUACAACAUGUCCAUUAUUUCCUUGUUCUAAAAAUGAAAAUGAUCUCCUGCCAUGUCUGUGACACCUACAUCUUCUGUGAUGAUAAAAAUUAGCAUUUUUAUUUGAGUCAUGAAGUAUUUCUCAUGAUGACAACACCCUUCCCCAUGCAAAUGGAGAUGUGGGAGACUGAAUGCCUUAUCUGCAUGGCUCUGCCUUCUGAAUAUAAGCUCAUUCAUUUAUUCAUUGAGUAAGGCCUGUUUUCACGUGUUAAAAUUAUCAUAAUUGUUGGACAUUAGCCAGUAGAUGAGAGAGACAAAUCUCAACCCCAAAAGAAUAUACAUUCUAAUUGCACAAAUCACAAAAUAAGUUAGUAAACACAGAAAUAAUAUGAUAUCACACAAUGAUAAAUAGAGUGAAACAGAAAAGCAGAACGCUGUCUUAGGAAAGAAGUGGGAAACAUCCUUAAAUAGAAAUGUUGGGGGGAAAAGUUAGUAUAUAAGCCAAAGCCUGAAUGAUUGGAUGAACUGUGUAUCAGUCAACAUUUUGCCAUUGUUACAAGUAUCUGAGACAAUCAAGUUAUGAAGAAAAAAGGUUUAUUCUAGUUCACAUUUUGGCCUUAUUUCUUUGGCCUAUGGCAGUGGGGGCAUGUGUCACCUUGAACAUUUUAUCUUGUGGCUGAGAACAAAAGAAAGAAAGGAAGAAUAAUCCAUCCCCUUUGAGGGCAAACCACCAGUGACUUCACAGUUCCUCCUAGGUGCCGUCUUUGAAAAGUUGUACUGAAUACCAAUGCUACCAAGCCGAAGACUAAGGCAUUCUAGACCUGAGCUAUGGCAAGCAUGUUAUGAUGGGAGAAUUCCCAGGCUAGAAUAAAGAUUUGCAGGGCAUCAUAAUCCUGGUGUGUUCAGAGAACAAGCAGGAGGCAGAAACAUUGGAGGACAGGAACUAGCAAGGAUAAAUGCAAGAGUGAUAUUCCAGAGAAGCAGAUGAUGGAAGAGUUCCUUGACUACAGUAAAACUUAGUCCCAGAGCAUAGGCAGCAGAGAACAACACAGUCUGACAGUCACCAUCAAUUGUCCCCUGGGGAAGAGCUGGUUCAAGAGACUGUAGUGGUUACUAGCCCAAACAAGUGGGGAUGGAGAGAGAAAGACAUUUCUGGGUCCAGAAAGUAAGUGAGAGAGCCAGAGCCCGUGGGUCUUGGGUGGGCAAAAGUGGCAAUAUUCCUUACCAUUUAGGCCAAAGCCACAGAGGGUGGUGAUUGGAACAGAGAGGAGAGAAGGAUGAAGACUGGUGUUAGUUGGCAGUAGGAGGAGAAAUGUACAGUGAACCCAAAAGGUAGGUGUGUGUGUGUGUAUGUGGUGUGUGUGUGUGUGUGUGUGGUGUGUAUGUGUGUGUGGUGUGUGUGUGUGUGUGUGUGGUGUGUGUGUGUGUGUGUGUGGUGUGUAUGUGUGUGUGGUGUGUGUGUGUGUGGUGUAUGUGUGUGGUGUGUGUGUGUGGUGCGUAUGUGUGUGUGGUGUGUAUGUGUGUGUGGUGUGUAUGUGUGUGGUGUGUGUGUGUGUGUGUGUGUGUGUGUGUGUGUGUGGUGUGGUGUGUGUGUGUGUGUUCCUGCACACAUACAGGUAGAUUCCAAGGCUUGACAGUGAAUGUCUUCCUUGAUUGCUCCCUGCUUUACUUUUUUUGAAGCAAAUUUUCUCACUGAAUCUGGAAACCAUCCAUUUGACUUGGCAAUAUAUCUUUUGAGAUCAAGGGAUCUACCUGUUUCUGCAUCUCCAAACUACCCCCAGUGCUGGGGUUCGUUAUAGACAGACCACUGUACCUGAUCUGAACUAAUCAUAAUUACGUGCUGUGUACUUUAUCCCUUAUAUAUGGAAUAGGUUUGGUUCCAGGUAUUAACUGAGUAAGUAGAAGCAGUUUAAACAAUUUGGGCUGGUGUUCUCCACAUUGCAUGCCCUACAGAGAUAUGUGCACAAAGCUGGCUUCAGUGAAGCUUUGAACUCUUUGUGGUUCUUUAUUAUGGCACCCUUAACUUGUUGAUUGCAGCCUGAACGUACAAUAGCGUGGUUGUUACUACAGCUCUAGGAGAUUGUAUGUGCUGUGAGUGGUAUCAAGAACAUGUAUACUUCAUUACUGACAUAGGGUCUCAGGGAUCCAGGUAACUUCAGACUUGCUAUGUGACUAGAGAUUGUCAGACCCACCUGGGUCCCAUCAGUGUUUGACCCCUCCUGAGCCUUGCUGAUGCAUGUGGAAGCCUUUUGUUCCUAACAAAGGACCAUCCUGACCUUUCUGCUUGGCCUGAGUGGUACACCUAGGUGGUACACCUGCGCGGUAACAUUGUUAAGUCAGUUCCUGUUUUUUGUUCCCUGUUUUUUGCUCUUGAGGGCCUAAGCCUGUUUUCCACUAUGCUUCCUGGAAUUUUCCACCCAGUGGACUUGGUAUAUAUAUAUAUAUAUUCUGUGAACCUCAGUAAAGCUUUGGCAUUCUUGUAACACGAAUGACUUGAAUAUGUGUUUUUUUCUUAAACCUUACAGGCCUACGCCUGGUUCUUGGUACCAUGGCACCCACAAAAGAUGACUUUGAAUUCCUAAUCCUCCUUCUCUGUCUCUGAAACUCUGAGAUUGGAGUCUUGUCCCAUCAUGCUGGGUUUAUGCCAUGUUAAGGAACAAAGUUAAGGAUUCAUACAAUGCUAAGCAAAUAUUCUCCUUGCUGACCCACAUCCACUGUCCAUACUGACCAUUUUCAUCAACAAAGCAAAGAUUUCAGUAGCUAUUGUCAUCAAAGAUUCCCAUGCAGUCUCUUAUUGGAACCGAGUUACAGGAUAACUCUCACUGCGAGAGAGGUUGGAAACAGGGAUUUUUAGCUGAUCUCCUGUAUACACUCAGCAUUGUUAGCAAAGGAGACGGGCUACUUAAUGAAGCACUGGCAGCUCUCAAACAUGAUACCCUACAUGUCAAUUUAGGAGGGUUGGAGCAGGUAAAGCUGGAGAGACACAUUCUAAAGCCAGAUGGAAUUAAAUGACAGCAAGUAUAGACAGCAGACAGAAUUCAAGUCUGAACUAAGAAGAGGCUCUUAUUCCUCCUCCAUUUUUAAAACAUGCCAUUUUCUAUCUACCUGGUAGUUGAUUAACGUAAGCAGCAGACUGGGCCACCCUUCAGGGAAGGGAGAGACAUCCCUUCAGGGAACUGUCUAUGCUAUGGAUUAACUCAUGAAAUUGAGCAUAAUUACAAAUGCCUUCCUUUUGUAGAAUGCCCUAUUUUCCUUUAUAUGGAGGCUGCAGGUAUUCCUCCGGUCAGGAGGGUUCUUUUUUCAUGAAGUCAUCAGUUUACACCCUACGCCUUAUUUCUAUCCUGCUUCAAGCUCCCUCUGUCAUAGGGCAGAGCUAGAGGGGAUGAUGGCCCUAGUUCUUCUGAACUUGGGGACAAUACAAUGUGUCACUCCCCGUUGUGGAAAUUAUCAUUAAUUAUGAGCAGGAACGUCUUUGACAUGAUGUAGUGUUUUUAUUGUCAGAGCCAAGAAUGGGCUGAUAAUUAAUGGAUGCCCCUUAGAAUAUGACAUGACAAAGCUCAGUAUGGAAAAGAUCAGAACUUUUUUUAUGGAAAGGCACAGAAUGUUGAAUACCCUAGAAUUUCUCAAUGUUAAGUCUCCCUCGCCCUAUCCCUCCCUCUCACUCCCUCUUUUCCCCUUCUCUCUCUCUCUCUCUCUCUCUCUCUCUCUCUCUCUCUCUCUCUCACACACACACACACACACACACACACACACACACACAUACACACACACAC